GUGUCAAUUUCUUCCUUGCAGAAUGUAAAGAAGAGUUCCAUCACCACAGCAGAUGCCCCUGGAGGAGGGCUGAGCCUUUGUCAAUGCUACACCAAUAAAGGCACCUUUAGGAAAAUGACUGGAAGAAAUUCAUCAGCGAUAUCUUCCCAGCACCCAGCGUGAUGCAAAGCACAUAGUAAAUGUUGAAUAAAUGCUUGCUGUGUGAAUCA
rnacentral:lncRNA from 1 species